CGAUAGUUUUAUUUUGUUGGUUUUUAAAACCGUCGUAAUGAUUAAUAGGAACGGUCGGGGGUAUUAGUAUUUAGUUGUCAGAGGUGAAAUUCUUGGAUUUACUAAAGACUAACAACUGCGAAGGCAUUUACCAAGGACGUCUCCAUUAAUCAAGAACGAAAGUUAGGGGAUCGAAGACGAUCAGAUACCGUCGUAGUCUUAACCGUAAACGAUGCCGACUCAGGAUGGGUACUUUUUAAUAAAUGAAGUAUCUGCACUGUACGAGAAAUCAAAGUUUUUGGGUUCUGGGGGGAGUAUUUACGCAAGUAAGGAACUUAAAGGAAUUGACGGAAGGGCACCACCAGGAGUGGAGCCUGCGACUUAAUUUGACUCAACACGGGGAAACUUACCAGGUCCAGACGCGAUUAGGAUUGACAGAUUGAUAGCUCUUUCAUGAUUUCGCGGGUGGUGGUGCAUGGCCGUUCUUAGUUCGUGGAUUCAUCUGGCAACUUGAUUGUGGUAACGAACGAGACCUCUGUUAAUAGUUGGGGAUUAUUACUUUAGUAGUGAUUUCGAUCUAUUAAGACUGCUGGUGCGAGCCAGAGGAAGUUGGAGGCGAUAACAGGUCUGUGAUGCCCUUAGACGUUCUGGGCUGUACGCGCGCUACACUGACAAAGCCAACGAGUUUUGGCCUUGGCCGAGAGGUCUGGGUAAUCUUGUUAAACUUUGUCGUGC
rnacentral:rRNA from 1 species